UGUGCGCGAGUCAUUGGGUUAAACACUAAACCUAAAGGCGCAAUGAAAGUGAAGGUCCCGCCUCGUGCGGACCGAGGGAAGAUGGGCUGCGCUACCAGCGCGGYCCCGCAUUCCCGGGGCGUCUCGUUCUCACUGCGAGUUGWUGCGCACCCAGAGCGUACACGUUGGGACCCGAAAGAUGGUGAACUAUGCCUGGCCAGGACGAAGUCAGGGGAAACCCUGAUGGAGGUCCGUAGCGAUUCUGACGUGCAAAUCGAUCGUCGGAGCUGGGUAUAGRGCGAA
rnacentral:rRNA from 1 species